rnacentral:sRNA from 20 species
CACCCCAUGGAAUGCUCAGGUCCGCCGCAUCUCCUGGGUCCCGUGGGGCGGUCGGUCAGCCUCGCUCGUAUACGGUGUCCUCGUGCCGUUGAGCAGGCUGGCCGGCCACUUU